UUUUUUUUUCUUUUCUUUUAGUAGAGAGAGAGAGAGCCUAGCCUUGCCUCUUGGGCCUCCUGUAGCCGCAGGCCCAGCAGCAGUCAACCCACUCCUCUCGUAACCCUAACGAGCAUCUCUCCCUCGACCUUUUCCUCUAUCGCCGCCUCCUAUCGAUCCCCUAGUGCAGCCGAACCCUUCUCCUCAGUGCCGCAGAGCCCUCGGCUCGAUCCCGAUCCCCUCGACCCCUUUCCUCUCGAUCCCACGCGACCCCCAUCUCUCUCUCUCUCUGGAUCCCGCGCAUAGCCACCCAGCUCCUCUGUCCAUCGAGCCACUGCCGGAGCUCCACCUCGCCGGCCGACGAGGCCACGACCAAGCUGGAGCCUCCUCUCCUCCCUCUGCUUCGCGCCUCCCGAGCGGCGACUGGGAUGUUCUUCCUCCCGCUGGAACCAGGAGCGCCGCCACCCUUGACCCGCCUCGCCGUCGCCAUGGACCGAAGCCGCGCCUCGGUUGCUUCUUGUACGCAGCCGCCGGCCUCUCCUUCCUCCUGCCCGGUUCCCCUUGCUGCCUUGCCGCCGUCGAGCUGCGCCGCAGUGCCGACCUUGCUCUGCCCUUGCAGAUGCUGCUUCGUCACCUCGCGCCCGCGCCUCUUCCUCCCUCCGUUCGGCCGCAAGCGCGUCGCCGCCUUCUUCGAGCAGCAACAGCGUUUUUCGCUGCAUGCUGACGAGCACACGACCCGGCCUUCUCCUACUACUACCUCGAGAAGUACCACCACGACCUGCAUGCCCUGUCCGCCGCAGUGGACGACCGCGACGCCCCACUGUGAUCAUGUACCUCCACUUGCUGUUGCUGUUGAUGUCAAGUUCGACCACCGAACAUGGAUUAGCGCCAAGUACCACAGCGGCCAGCAUUUGGAUUCGACAAGUUCGACGACGCGUGUACAACUACGUUACCGAAACCGCCAAGUACCUCUACACACGGAUGCGUCAAGGUUGUCUCAGAUAUCGCCAAGUACACCACCGAAAAGACCACAUGGAUGCUCGAACGAGUACUGAAAUGAACGCCGAGUACCACUACACGACCAUUUACAUGUACCCCUACGCCGCACCGAAACGCCGAGUGUUGGGGAACGUAGCAAAAUUUUAAAAUUUUCUAUGCAACACCAAGAUCAAUCUAUGGAGUCAUCUAGCACCGAGGGAGAGAGAAGUCCAUCUACAUAUCCUUGUAGAUUGCGCGCGUAAGCGUUCAAGAGAACGGGGUUGAUGGAGUCGUACUCGACGUGAUCCAAGUCACCGAUGACCUAGUGCCGAACGGACGACACCUCCGCGUUCAACACACGUACGGUUGGGAAGACGUUUCCUCCUUCUUGAUCCAGCAAGGGGGAAGGAGAGGUUGAUGAAGAUCCAGCAGCACGACGGCGUGGUGGUGGAUGCAGCAGGAUCCCGGCAGGGCUUCGCCAAGCACAAGCGGGGAGGAGAGGUGUUACGGAGGGAGAGGGAGGCGCCAAGAGCAAGGGGUGCGGCUGCCCUCCCUCCCCCCUCUUUAUAUAGGGGCCUUGGGGGGGUGCCGGCCCUAGGAGAUGGAUCUCCAAAGGGGCGACGGCCAAGGGGUGGCUUCCCCCCCAAGCCAAGUGGGGGGCGCCCCCACCCCUAGGGUUUCCCAACCCUAGGCGCAGGGGAGGCCCAAGGGGGGGCGCACCAGCCACUAGGGGCUGGUUCCCCUCCCAACUCAGCCCAUGGGGCCCUCCGGGAUAGGUGGCCCCACCCGGUGGACCCCGGGACCCUUUCGGUGGUCCCCGUACAAUACCGGCGACCCCCGAAACCUUCCCGAUGGCCGAAACUGGACUUCCUAUAUAUAAAUCUUUACCUCCGGACCAUUCCGAAACUCCUCGUGACGUCCGGGAUCUCAUCCGGGACUCCGAAAAACUUUCGGGUUACUGCAUACUAAUAUCUCUACAACCCUAGCAUCACUGAACCUUAAGUGUGUAGACCCUACCGGUUCGGGAGACAUGCAGACAUGACCGAGAUGCCUCUCCGGUCAAUAACCAACAGCGGGAUCUGGAUACCCAUGUUGGCUCCCACAUGCUCCACGAUGAUCUCAUCGAAUGAACCACGAUGUCGAGGAUUCAAUCAAUCCAUAUACAAUUCCCUUUGUCAAUCGGUACGUUACUUGCCCGAGACUCGAUCGUCGGUAUCCCAAUACCUCGUUCAAUCUCGUUAUCGGCAAGUCACUUUACUCGUGCCGUAAUGCAUGACCCCGUGAUCAACCACUUGGUCACAUUGAGCUCAUUAUGAUGAUGCAUUACCGAGUGGGCCCAGAGAUACCUCUCCGUCAUACGGAGUGACAAAUCUCAGUCUCGAUUCGUGCCAACCCAACAGAUACUUUCGGAGAUACCUGUAGUGUACCUUUAUAGUCACCCAGUUACGUUGUGACGUUUGGCACACCCAAAGCACUCCUACGGUAUCCGGGAGUUGCACAAUCUCAUGGUCUAAGGAAAUGAUACUUGACAUUCGGAAAAGCUACAACAAACAAACUACACGGUCUUUGAGCUAUGCUUAGGAUUGGGUCUUGUCCAUCACAUCAUUCUCCUAAUGAUGUGAUCCCGUUAUCAAUGACAUCCAAUGUCCAUAGUCAGGAAACCAUAACUAUCUUUUGAGCAACGAGCUAGUCAACUAGAGGCUCACUAGGGACGUGUUGUGGUAUAUGUAUUCACACAUGUAUUACGAUUUCCGGAUAACACAAUUAUAGCAUGAACAAUAGACAAUUAUCAUGAACAAAGAAAUAUAAUAAUAACCAUUUUAUUAUUGCCUCUAGGGCAUAUUUCCAAUAGUCUCCCACUUGCACUAGAGUCAAUAGUCUAGUUACAUUGUGAUGAAUCGAACACCCAUGCAGUUCUGGUGUUGAUCAUGUUUUGCUCUAGGGAGAGGUUUAGUCAACGGAUCUGCCACAUUCAGGUCCGUAUGUACUUUACAAAUAUCUAUGUCUCCAUCCUGUACACUUUCACGAAUGGAGUUGAAGUGACGCUUGAUAUGCCUGGUCUUCCUGUGAAACCUGGGCUCCUUGGCAAGGGCAAUAGCUCCAGUGUUGUCACAGAAGAGAGUCAUCGGGCCCGACGCAUUGGGUAUGACUCCUAGGUCGGUUAUGAACUCCUUCACCCAGACUGCUUCUUGUGCUGCCUCUGAGGCUGCCAUGUACUCCGCUUCACAUGUAGAUCCCACCACAACGCUUUGCUUGCAACUGCACCAGCUUACUGCCCCACCAUUCAAAAUAUACACGUAUCCGGUUUGUGACUUAGAGUCAUCCAGAUCUGUGUCGAAGCUAGCAUUGACGUAACCCUUUACGACGAGCUCUUCGUCACCUCCAUAAACAAGAAACAUAUCCUUAGUCCUUUUCAGGUACUUCAGGAUAUUCUUGACCGCUGUCCAGUGUUCCAUGCCGGGAUUACUUUGGUACCUUCCUAGCAAACUUACGGCAAGGUUUACAUCAGGUCUGGUACACAGCAUAGCAUACAUGAUAGACCCUAUGGCCGAGGCAUAGGGGACGACACUCAUCUUUUCUCUAUCUUCUGCCGUGGUCGGGCAUUGAGCCGUGCUCAAUCUCGUACCUUGCAAUAUAGGCAAGAACCCCUUCUUUGACUGAUCCAUUUUGAACUUCUUCAAUAUCUUGUCAAGGUACGUACUCUGUGAAAGACCAAUGAGGCGUCUCAAUCUAUCUCUAUAGAUAUUGAUGCCUAAUAUAUAAGCAGCUUCUCCAAGGUCCUUCAUUGAAAAACACUUGUUCAAGUAGGCCUUUAUGCUUUCCAAGAAUUCUAUAUCAUUUCCCAUCAACAGUAUGUCAUCCACAUACAAUAUGAGAAAUGCUAUAGAGCUCCCACUCACUUUCUUGUAAAUGCAGGCUUCUCCAUAAGUCUGUGUAAACCCAAACGCUUUGAUCAUCUCAUCAAAACGAAUGUUCCAACUCCGAGAUGCUUGCACUAGCCCAUAAAUCGAGCGUUGGAGCUUGCACACCUUGUCAGCAUUCUUAGGAUCGACAAAACCUUCCGGCUGCAUCAUAUACAAUUCUUCCUUAAGGAAACCAUUAAGGAACGCUGUUUUGACGUCCAUUUGCCAUAUCUCAUAGUCAUAGAAUGCGCCAAUUGCUAACAUGAUUCGUACGGACUUCAGCUUCGCUACGGGUGAGAAAGUCUCAUCGUAGUCAACCCCUUGAACUUGUCGAUAACCCUUAGCGACAAGCCGAGCUUUAUAGAUGGUUACGUUACCAUCCGUGUCUGUCUUCUUCUUCAAGAUCCAUUUAUUUUCUAUGGCUCACCAAUCAUCGGGAAAGUCAGUUAAAGUCCAUACUUCGUUUCCAUACAUGGAUCCUAUCUCGGAUUUCAUGGCUUCCAGCCAUUUGUCGGAAUCCGGGCCCGCCAUCGCUUCUUCAUAGUUCGAAGGUUCACCGUUGUCUAACAACAUGAUUUCCAAGACAGGGUUGCCGUACCACUCUGGUGCGGAAUGUGUCCUUAUGGACCUAUGAAGUUCAGUACCAACUUGAUCUGAAGUUUCAUGAUCAUCAUCAUUAACUUCCUCUCUAGUCGGUGCAGGCACCUCAGGAACAUUUUCUUGAGCUGCGCUACUUACCGGUUCAAGAGGUAAUACUUCAUCAAGUUCUACUUUCCUCCCACUUAUUUCUUUCAAGAGAAACUCUUUCUCUAGAAAGGACCCAUUCUUGGCAACAAAGAUCUUGCCUUCGGAUCUGAGGUAGAAGGUAUACCCAAUAGUUUCUUUAGGGUAUCCUAUGAAGACGCAUUUUUCCGAUUUGGGUUCGAGCUUUUCAGGUUGAAGUUUCUUGACAUAAGCCUCGCAUCCCCAAACUUUUAGAAACGACAGCUUAGGUUUCUUCCCAAACCAUAAUUCAUACGGUGUCGUCUCAACGGAUUUCGACGGAGCCCUAUUUAAAGUGAAUGCGGCAGUCUCUAAAGCAUAGCCCCAAAAUGACAGCGGUAAAUCGGUAAGAGACAUCAUAGAUCGCACCAUAUCCAAUAGAGUGCGAUUACAACGUUCGGACACACCAUUACGCUGAGGUGUUCCAGGCGGCGUGAGUUGUGAAACUAUUCCACAUUUUCUUAAGCGUGUGCCAAAUUCGUGACUCAAGUAUUCUCCCCCACGAUCUGAUCGCAAGAACUUGAUUUUCCUGUCACGUUGAUUCUCAACCUCACUCUGAAAUUCCUUGAACUUUUGAAAGGUCUCGGACUUGUGUUUCAUUAAGUAGGCAUACCCAUAUCUACUCAAGUCAUCAGUGAGGGUGAGAACAUAACGAUAGCCACCGCGAGCCUCAACACUCAUUGGACCACACACAUCGGUAUAUAUGAUUUCCAAUAAGUUGGUUGCUCGCUCCAUUGUUCCUGAGAACGGAGUCUUGGUCAUUUUACCCAUGAGGCAUGGUUCACAUGUGUCAAAUGAUUCGUAAUCAAGAGACUCCAAAAGCCCAUCUGCAUGGAGCUUCUUCAUGCGUUUGACACCUAUGUGACCAAGGCGGCAGUGCCACAAGUAUGUGGGACUAUCAUUAUCAACCUUACAUCUUUUGGUAUUCACACUAUGAAUAUGUGUAGCAUUACGCUCGAGAUUCAUUAAGAAUAAACCAUUCACCAUCGGAGCAUGACCAUAAAACAUAUCUCUCAUAUAAAUAGAACAACCAUUAUUCUCAGAUUUAAAUGAGUAGCCAUCUCGAAUUAAACGAGAUCCUGAUACAAUGUUCAUGCUCAAAGCUAGCACUAAAUAACAAUUAUUGAGGUUUAAAACUAAUCCCGUAGGUAAAUGUAGAGGUAGCGUGCCGAUGGCGAUCACAUCGACCUUGGAACCAUUCCCGACGCGCAUCGUCACCUCGUCCUUCGCUAGUCUCUGCUUAUUCCGUAGCUCCUGCUUUGAGUUACAAAUGUGAGCAACCGCACCGGUAUCAAAUACCCAGGAGCUACUACGAGUACUGGUAAGGUACACAUCAAUUACAUGUAUAUCACAUAUACCUUUGGUGUUGCCGGCCUUCUUGUCCGCUAAGUAUUUGGGGCAGUUCCGCUUCCAGUGACCACUUCCCUUGCAAUAAAAACACUCAGUCUCGGGCUUGGGUCCAUUCUUUGGCUUCUUCCCGGCAGCUUGCUUACCGGGCGCGGCAACUCCCUUGCCGUCCUUCUUGAAGUUCUUCUUACCCUUGCCUUUCUUGAACUUAGUGGUUUUAUUCACCAUCAACACUUGAUGUUCCUUUUUGAUUUCCACCUCUGCUGAUUUCAGCAUUGAAUAUACCUCAGGAAUGGUCUUUUCCAUCCCCUGCAUAUUGAAGUUCAUAACAAAGCUCUUGUAGCUCGGUGGAAGCGACUGAAGGAUUCUGUCAAUGACUGCGUCAUCCGGGAGAUUAACUCCCAGCUAAGUCAAGCGGUUAUGCAACCCAGACAUUUUGAGUAUGUGCUCACUCACAAAACUAUUUUCCUCCAUCUUACAACUGAAGAACUUGUCGGAGACUUCAUAUCUCUCGACCCGGGCGUGAUCUUGGAAAACCAUUUUCAGCUCUUCGAACAUCUCAUAUGUUCCAUGUCUAUCAAAACACUUUUGGAGCCCCGGUUCUAAGCUGUAAAGCAUGCCGCACUGAACGAGGGAGUAAUCAUCAGCACGUGACUGCCAAGUGUUCAUAACGUCUUGGUUCUCUGGGAUAGGUGCAUCACCUAGCAGCGCUUCUAGGACAUAAUCUUUCUUGGCAGCUAUGAGGAUGAUCCUCAGGUUCCGGACCCAGUCCGUAUAGUUGCUGCCAUCAUCUUUUAGCUUGGUUUUCUCUAGGAACGCGUUGAAGUUGAGGACAACGUGGGCCAUUUGAUCUACAAGACAUAUUGUAAAGAUUUUAGACUAAGUUCAUGAUAAUUAAGUUCAUCUAAUCAAAUUACUCAAUGAACUCCCACUCAGAUAUACAUCCCUCCAGUCAUCUAAGUGAAACAUGAUCCGAGUUAACUAGGCCGUGUCCGAUCAUCACGUGAGACGGACUAGCCAACAUCGGUGAACAUCUACAUGUUGAUCGUAUCUUCUAUACGACUCAUGCUCGACCUUUCGGUCUUCCGUGUUCCGAGGCCAUGUCUGUACAUGCUAGGCUCGUCAAGUCAACCUAAGUGUAUUACGUGUGUAAAUCUGGCUUACACCCGUUGUAUUCGAACGUUAGAAUCUAUCACACCCGAUCAUCACGUGGUGCUUCGAAACAACGAACCUUCGCAACGGUGCACAGUUAGGGGGAACACUUUCUUGAAAUUAUUACGAGGGAUCAUCUUAUUUAAGCUACCAUCGUUCUAAGCAAAUAAGAUGUAAAACAUGAUAAACAUCACAUGCAAUCAAAUAGUGACAUGAUAUGGCCAAUAUCAUUUGCUCCUUUUGAUCUCCAUCUUCGGGGCUCCAUGAUCAUCGUUGUCACCGGCAUGACACCAUGAUCUCCAUCAUCAUGAUCUCCAUCAUCGUGUCUUCUUGAAGUUGUCUCGUCAUCUAUUACUUCUACUACUAUGGCUAACGGUUUAGAAAUAAAGUAAAGUAAUUACAUGAUGUUAUAUGUUGACACGCAGGUCACAAAUAAAUUAAGACAACUCCUAUGGCUCCUGCCGGUUGUCAUACGCAUCGACAUGCAAGUCGUGAUUCCUAUUACAAGAACAUGAUCAUCUCAUACAUCACAUAUAUCAUUCAUCACAUCCUUUGGCCAUAUCACAUCACAAAACACUUGCUGCAAAAACAAGUUAGACAUCCUCUAAUUGUUGUUGCAAGUUUUUACGUGGCUGCUAUAGGAUUCUAGCAAGAACGUUUCUUACCUACGCCAAAACCACAACGUGAAUUGCCAAUUUCUAUUUACCCUUCAUAAGGACCCUGUUCAUCGAAUCCGAUCCGACUAAAGUGGGAGAGACAGACACCCGCCAGCCACCUUAUGGAACUAGUGCAUGUCAGUCGGUGGAACCAGUCUCACGUAAGCGUACGUGUAAGGUCAGUCCGGGCCGCUUCAUCCCACAAUGCCGCCGAAUCAAGAUAAGACUAGUAACGGCAAGCAAAUUGACAAUAUCGACGCCCACAACUGCUUUGUGUUCUACUCGUGCAUAGGAACUACGCAUAGACCUAGCUCAUGAUGCCACUGUUGGGGAACGUAGCAGAACUUUAAAAUUUUCUACGCAACACCAAGAUCAAUCUAUGGAGUCAUCUAGCACCGAGGGAGAGAGGAGUGCAUCUACAUAUCCUUGUAGAUUGCGCGCGGAAGCGUUCAAGAGAACGGGGUUGAUGGAGUCGUACUCGACAUGAUCCAAAUCACCGAUGACCUAGUGCCGAACGGACGGCACCUUCGCGUUCAACACACGUACGGUUGGGAAGACGUCUCCUCCUUCUUGAUCCAGCAAGGGGGAAGGAGAGGUUGAUGAAGAUCCAGCAGCACGACGGCGUGGUGGUGGAUGCAGCAGGAUCCCGGCAGGGCUUCGCCAAGCACAAGCGGGGAGGAGAGGUGUUACGGAGGGAGAGGGAGGCACCAAGAGCAAGGGGUGCAGCUGCCCUCCCUCCCCCCUCUUUAUAUAGGGGCCUUAGGGGGGCGCCGGCCCUAGGAGAUGGAUCUCCAAAGGGGCGGUGGCCAAGGGGUGGCUUCCCCCCCAAGCCAAGUGGGGGCGCCCCCACCCCUAGGGUUUCCCAACCCUAGGCGCAGGGGAAGCCCAAGGGGGGCGCACCAGCCCACUAGGGGCUGGUUCCCCUCCCAACUCAGCCCAUGGGGCCCUCCGGGAUAGGUGGCCCCACCCGGUGGACCCCCGGGACCCUUCCGGUGGUCCUGGUACAAUACCGGCGACCCCCGAAACCUUCCCGAUGGCUGAAACUGGACUUCCUAUAUACAAAUAUUUACCUCCGGACCAUUACGGAACUCCUCGUGACGUCCGGGAUCUCAUCCAGGACUCCCAACAACUUUCGGGUUACUGCAUACUAAUAUCUCUACAACCCUAGCGUCACCGAACCUUAAGUGUGUAGACCCUACGGGUUCGGGAGACAUGCAGACAUGACCGAGACGCCUCUCCGGUCAAUAACCAACACCGGGAUCUAGAUACCCAUGUUGGCUCCCACAUGCUCCAUGAUGAUCUCAUCGGAUGAACCACGAUGUCGAGGAUUCAAUCAAUCUGUAUACAAUUCCCUUUGUCAAUCGGUACGUUACUUGCCCGAGACUCGAUCGUCGGUAUCCCAAUACCUCGUUCAAUCUCGUUACCGGCAAGUCACUUUACUCGUGCCGUAAUGCAUGAUCCCGUGAUCAACCACUUGGUCACAUUGAGCUCAUUAUGAUGAUGCAUUACCGAGUGGGCCCAGAGAUACCUCUCCAUCAUACGGAGUGACAAAUCCCAGUCUCGAUUCGUGCCAACCCAACAGAUACUUUCGGAGAUACCUGUAGUGUACCUUUAUAGUCACCCAGUUACAUUGUGACGUUUGGCACACCCAAAGCACUCCUACGGUAUCCGGGAGUUGCACAAUCUCAUGGUCUAAGGAGAUGAUACUUGACAUUCGGAAAAGCUACAGCAAACAAACUACACGAUCUUUGAGCUAUGCUUAGGAUUGGGUCUUGUCCAUCACAUCAUUCUCCUAAUGAUGUGAUCCCAUUAUCAAUGACAUCCAAUGUCCAUAGUCAGGAAACCAUGACUAUCUUUUGAUCAACGAGCUAGUCAACUAGAGGCUCACUAGGGACGUGUUGUGGUCUAUGUAUUCACACAUGUAUUACGAUUUCCGGAUAACACAACUAUAGCAUGAACAAUAGACAAUUAUCAUGAACAAAGAAAUACAAUAAUGACCAUUUUAUUAUUGCCUCUAGGGCAUAUUUCCAACACCGAGUUCCUCUCCAAACGCGUGUACGACUCCCAGGGCCGAAAGUACCGUAUACCACUACCGUCUCCGAAGAACCGUGUAACGGAACAGUCAAGUUCGACUACCGCCAGCAUGUACAACUACCGUCGCCGAGAUCGCGAGAACCUCUUCCGUCGCCCCUAGAUGCAUGUGAGAACGACUACACCGCUUGACCCGAACCGCUCCGAUAACGCACGCUUCGAAGGUAUAACCCCGAAAUGAUCGCCAGUGGAUGAAUGCAUAUGUUGUAUGAAAUGCUCGCGGUUGCACCGUGCCCGACGUGUUUCUUGCAUGUUCCCCGUUGCCGUGCUGUCGUCUCGUCGGAACCCAGUUACCGUGAUCACCCCACCUUCUAUCGCAUGUCACGCUCCCGUCACUUUUCCUUUUGCACCGGUAUCUUCGUGAGCUAUCGGAACCGGAAUGUUGCCGUGGCACCAUUUCCGUUGUCAUUGUCGUGGCACCCCUUUCGUUUCUGCCACGAUGACAAAUGCUUCUUAAUGCUCUUGUCAACUUUUAAUAAUAAUUGCAUAAAACUUGUUCACGUCAUCCGCAUCAUGAUAACAACAAUUAAAAUGUUUAAAUUGUUGUUGCACCAAAUUGAUAAAUGCAUAUGGGGAUUUACCGGAUUUGUUGGUUGCUAUAUCCGGCCCCAUUUAAAUUGUUUAGAUAGAUAAUUCCUUUAUGUUUCACCUCUUGACAUGCUUAACAACAUUUAAUAUUGUUGAGUUCAUAAACGAGAUCGAACUAAAUAAGUCAUGUGGUGUUUCGUCAAUAUGCAACUCGUUGCAUAUUGAGCUCUACUUAAUUUUUAGGGUUGUUUGUGCACUUUGCCAUGCCAUGCCUCAUUAAACCGGACAUGCAUCAUACUUGAUUGUGCAUCGUGCCAUGCUUAUGUGAUGGUUGUUUACCAUGAUUGUUUGCUUCUUUCCGGUGUUGCUUCUUCGGGUUGGUUCCGAUAACGUCGUGUUGUGAGGAUCCAUUCGACUAUGUCCAUUUGUCUUCUUCAUGGACUCGUUCUUCUUCCUUGCGGGAUCUCAGGCAAGAUGACCAUACCCUUGAAAUCACUUCUAUACUUGCUUGCUAGAUGCUCGCUCUUUUGCUAUGCCUAUGUUGCGAUACCUACCACUUGCUAUAUCAUGCCUCCCAUGUUGCUAAUCCAAGCCUCUAACCCACCUUGUCCUAGCAAACCGUUGUUUGGCUAUGUUACCGCUUUGCUCAGCCCCUCUUAUAGCAUUGUUAGUUGUAGGUGAAGAUUGGAGUUUGUUCCUUGUUGGAACAUGAUUAUAUGUUGGGAUAUCACAAUAUCUCUUAUUUAAUUAAUGCAUCUAUAUACUUGGUAAAGGGUGGAAGGCUCGGCCUUAUGCCUGGUGUUUUGUUCCACUCUUGCCGCCCUAAUUUCCGUCAUACCGGUGUUAUGUUCCUUGAUUUUGCGUUCCUUACACGGUUGGGUUAUAAUGGGAACCCCUUGACAGUUCGCCUUGAAUAAAACUCCUCCAGCAAGGCCCAACAUUGGUUUUACCACUUGCCACCUAGCCUUUUCUUUCCCUUGGGUCGGCCGGCUCAAGGGUCAUCUUUAUUUAACCCCCCCGGGCCAGUGCUUCUCUAAGUGUUGGUCCAACUGAGGGAUGUCCGGGGCUACGAGGGGCAACUCUGGGCUGGCCUACCCGACGUCUUGCUCAUCCAGUGUGCCCUGAGAACGAGAUAUGUGCAGCUCCUAUCGGGAUUUGUCGGCACAUCUGGGUGGCUUUGCUGGUCUUGUUUUACCAUUGUUGAAAUGUCUUGUAACCGGGAUUCCGAGCCUGAUCGGGUCUUCAUGGGAGAAGGAAUAUCCUUCAUUGACCGUGAGACCUUGUGAUGGGCUAAGUUGGGACACCCCUGCAGGGAUUUGAACUUUCGAAAGCCGUGCCCGCGGUUAUGGGCAGAUGGGAAUUUGUUAAUGUCUGGUUGCAGGGAAACCUGAAACUUAUCUUAAUUAAAAUGCAUCAACCGCGUGUGUAGCCGUGAUGGUCUCUUCUCGGCGGGGUCCGGGAAGUGAACACGGUGUUGGAGUAAUGCUUGACGUAGGUUGUUCUAGGAUCACUUCUUGAUCAUAGUUUCUCGAUCGUGCUUUGCCUUCUCUUCUCGCUCUCAUUUGUGUAUGUUAGCCACCAUAUAUGCUAGUCGCUUGUUGCAGCUCCACCUCACAUACCUUUUUCCCUACCUAUAAGCUUAAAUAGUCUUGAUCGCGAGGGUGUGAGAUUGCUGAGUCCCCGUGACUCACAGAUACUUCCAAAACCAGUUUGCAGGUGCCGAUGUUGCCGAGCAGGUGACGCGACCAAGCUCAAGGAGGAGCUCGAUGAAGAUCUUGUCCUUUGUGUUGUUUCGUUCUAGUUGAUCAGUAGUGGAGCCUAGUUGGGGAUGAUUGGGGAUCUGUGUAGCUUUUGGGGUAGUAUUCUUUUAUUUUGGUUCCGUAGUCGGACCUUGAUUCUAUCUGGUUGAUGUAAUGCUUUAUUCAUGUAUUGUGUGACGUGGCAUUGUAAGCCAACUAUGUAUCUCUUUCCCUUAUGUAUUACAUGGGUUGUGUGAAGAUUACCUCACUUGCGACAUUGCUUUCAUUGCGGUUAUGCCUCUAAGUCGUGCUUCGACACGUGGGAGAUAUAGCCGCAUCGAGGGCGUUACAAGUUGGUAAUCAGAGCCUUCCCCGACUUAGGAGCCCCCUGCUUGAUCGAAUCGCUGGCGUUGUUGAGUCUAGAAAAAUGUUUUGAGUCAUUUAGGAUUAUAUAUAUCGGAGAGUAGGAUUCUUUUUACUCCUCAGUCCCUUCGUCGCUCUGGUGAGGCAUCCUGACGUAGAGUUUUGACUCUUCUCUUCUCAAAUUUCACUAAAAAAAUUUAGGAUCAUGCGGGUAUCUUGGAAUCAUUCCGAUGGUUUUGUGACGAGAACAUUGUUCUUGGUGCCUCCUGACAUUUAGGGGUUGUGGCAGUGUCCCGGGGAGUUGAGCUCUAAGGUGUUGUCGUCACAAUUUAUCGUUGCUAUUCUGGAAUACCUGAGUUUCGCCGACAUCAUAAAUGUCUUCUAUGUAGUUGUUGGUGAGAUAACCUCGACGCCACCUAGUACUGGGGCGGGAGUUCGGGAGUAUUGCCAUAACUCGUAUAACGGAUGCUUCUCGAAGGUUGAGGUAAAUGAUUUCCGAAGGUUUCUUGGUUAUGUGUUGAAGGAUGGAUACAACUGGAUGUAGGAUUUGCUAGUUUUGGGUGAGAUAUUAUGCUUCCCCUGUAUCCCCAACACCUGAUUGCAUAACCAGAAAGUUUCGGGAGUUUAUAAGUGGGAAUUCAAGUAGAUCCUAGGAUAUCUUUCCGAUAGAUGUAUGAUAUGAAAUUGGGGUUCGACGUCUAGUGGUCCGCCUAUCCACGGUUGGUUUUACAGUGGUCUCUUUGUGUCUUAAAGAGUCCUUGGCUAUGCCGACUCGGGGACGCUUCGUAUGUCAUGUGCACUGCCUUGUACAUGAUGGUGCUGUACGAUCGAGCCCGUGUGGGCCCCACCACAAAAACUUAGGAUGAAAUCUCUAUCAUAUGUUUGUUCCGGCUUAUUCUGCAAGCCAAUCCUUUGUUUUUGUUUUGAGUUGUGGUAUUUGAGUUGCUUCGAAGUCAAGUGUUGAUUCCAUACCUUUCCAAAGCGGUGUUCUCAUGUUCCUAUGUGAAUACCAAUCCUUCUUCAUAAUCGAGAUUGUCAUGUAAAUCCUUUUCAACCGGCGUGUUCCUCUUCAAGUGGAUCCAAUCUUGUCAACAUUCGCAAGAUCUAUUAUCAGUUCUUCUCAACGGUGUUUGUUUCAUCCGUCUCCAAGUUGCCUUUGUUUUCCCGCCCACCCACCCUUUUUCUUCAAGGACUCAGAUAUCUUAAUCAAGUAUCCAUCUUAUUGAUGCGAGGCCUCUUCAUUCCUUUUCCGUCAAUGUUUCUUAUCCGGUGAUUCUCAUGAAGAUUCUAACGGAGCUUCUAGUUUAUCAUUCUUCGUUUUUUUCUUCUCCGGUGGACCCAAGUCAAGCUUUGUUGAUCAUAUCCUUUUCCUUGUUUCAAAUACCUUCUCAUGCCGGUGCACCUCAUAUUCAUUCAUUGCUCGCUAUUCAAUUGUUCCGGAGUGCUCAAGAUAUCUCUAAGAUUCGUGUUUCCACUCUGCAUUCGUUCAAGAUCUUUCGAGGAUGUUAUCUGAUAUGUCCAUUUUGCAUCAUGCUUUUAUAUCGAUAUUUAUUGCAUUAUGGAUUGUUAUUUCACUUUAUGUCACAAUACGUAUGGCUAUUCUCUCCUAUUUUACAAGGUUUACAUAAGGAGGGAGAAUGCCGGCAGCUAGAAUUCUGGGCCGGAAAAGGAGCAAAUAUUAGAAACCUAUUUUGUGCAACUCCAAAAGUCCAGAAACUCCACGGAACGUCUUAAAAUAAAUAAAGAAAAAUCCUCGCCAAAGAUGAAGGCCAGGGGGCCCACACCCUGCUCACGAGGGUGGGGGGCGCCCCCCCUAGGGCGCGCCCCCCUACCUCGUGGGCCCCCUGGUGGCUCUCUGACGCCCAUCUUCUCCUAUAUGAAGUCUUUCGAUGAGAAAAAAAGGAGGAACUUUUUGGGACGAGACUCCGCCGCCACGAGGCGGAACCUUGGCGGAUCCAAUCUAGAGCUCCGGCAGAGCUGUUCUGCCGGGGAAACUUCCCUCCGGGAGGGGGAAAUCAUCACCAUCGUCAUCACCAACGCUCCUCUCAUCGGGAGAGGGCAAUCUUCAUCAACAUCUUCACCAGCACCAUCUCAUCUCCAAACCCUAGUUCAUCUCUUGCAUCGAAUUCUUGUCUCAAAGUCCGGGAUUGGUGCUAGUAGGUUGCUAGUAGUGUUGAUUACUCCUUGUAGUUGAUGCUAGUUGGUUUAAUUGGUGGAAGAUCAUAUGUUUAGAUCCUAUAUGCAUAUUAUUACCCCUCUGAUUAUGAACAUGAAUAUGCUUUGUGAGUAAUUACGUUCGUUCCUGAGGACAAGGGAGAAGUCUUGCUAUUAGUAGUCAUGUGAAUUUGGUAUUCGUUUGAUAUUUUGAUAAGAUGUAUGUUGUCUAGCCUCUAGUGGUGUUAUGUGAACGUCGACUACAUAACACUUCACCAUUAUUUGGGCCUAGAGGAAGGCAUUGGGAAGUAAUAAGUAGAUGAUGGGUUGCUAGAGUGACAGAAGCUUAAACCCUAGUUUAUGCAUUGCUUCGUAAGGGGCUGAUUUGGAUCCAUAUGUUUCAUGCUAUGGUUAGGUUUACCUUAAUACUUUUGUUGUAGUUGCGGAUGCUUGCAAUAGAGGUUAAUCAUAAGUGGGAUAUUUGUUCAAGUAAUAACAGCACCCAAGCACCAGUCCACCCACAUAUCAAAUUAUCAAAGUAUCAAACGCGAAUCAUAUGAACUUGAUGAAAACUAGCUUGACGAUAUUCCCAUGUGUCCUCGGGAGCGCUUUUCCUAUUAUAAGAGUUUGUUCCGGCUUCUCCUUUGCUACAAAAGGAUUGGGCCACCUUGCUGCACUUUAUUUACUUUUGUUACUUGUUGCUCAUUGCAAUUUAUCCCGUCACAAAACUAUCUGUUACCACUUAUUUCAGUACUUGCAGAGAAUACCUUGCUAAAAACCACUUACCAUUUCCUUCCGCUCCUCAUUGGGUUCGACACUCUUACUUAUCGAAAGGACUACGAUAGAUCGCCUAUACUUGUGGGUCAUCAAGACUCUUUUCUGGCGCCGUUGCCGGGGAGUGUAGCGCCUUUGGUAGGUGGAAUUUGGUAAGGAAAAUUUUAUAUAGUGUGCUGAAAUUUACUGUCACUUGUUACUAUGGAAAGUAAUUCUCUGAGGGCUUGUUCGGGGUAUCUUCACCCCGUCCAGUAGAGCAAAGAGUUGCUCCUCAACCUACUGAACCUAUUGAAAAUGAAACUCCUUUUGAAUUUCCUUCGGGUAUGAUGGAAAAACUGCUAGAUAACCCUUUUACAGGAGAUGGAACAAAGCAUCUUGAUGAGCACUUAAUAUAUGUGGAUGAAGUUUGUGGAUUAUUUAAGCUUGCAGGUAUACCCGAUGAUGUUGCUAAGAAGAAGGUCUUCCCUUUAUAUUUGAAGGGAGACACAUUGAUAUGGUAUAGGCUAUGUGAUGAUAUGAGAUCAUGGGACUAUAAAAGAUUGAAGCUGGAAUUGUUGGAAAUAUGCCCUAGAGGCAAUAAUAAAUUAGUUAUUAUUAUAUUUCCUUGUUCAUGAUAAUCGUUUAUUAUCCAUGCUAGAAUUGUAUUGAUAGGAAACUCAGAUACAUGUGUGGAUACAUAGACAACACCAUGUCCCUAGUAAGCCUCUAGUUGACUAGCUCGUUGAUCAAUAGAUGGUUAUGGUUUCCUGACCAUGGACAUUGGAUGCCGUUGAUAUCGGGAUCACAUCAUUAGGAGAAUGAUGUGAUGGACAAGACCCAAUCCUAAGCCUAGCACAAAGAUCGUGUAGUUCGUAUGCUAAAGCUUUUCUAAUGUCAAGUAUCAUUUCCUUAGAACAUGAGAUUGUGCAACUCCCGGAUACCGUAGGAGUGCUUUGGGUGUGCAAAACGUCACAACGUAACUGGGUGGCUAUAAAGGUACGCUACAGGUAUCUCCGAAAGUGUCUGUUGGGUUGGCACGAAUCGAGACUGGGAUUUGUCACUCCGUGUAAACGGAGAGGUAUCUCUGGGCCCACUCGGUAGGACAUCAUCAUAAUGUGCAUAAUGUGACCAAGGAGUUGAUCACGGGAUUAUGUGUUACAGAACGAGUAAAGAGACUCGCCGGUAAUGAGAUUGAACAAGGUAUCGGGAUACCGACGAUCGAAUCUCGGGCAAGUAUCGUAUCGAUAGACAAAGGGAAUUGUAUACGGGAUUGAUUAAGUUCUUGACAUCGUGGUUCAUCUGAUGAGAUCAUCGUGGAACAUGUGGGAGCCAACAUGGGUAUCCAGAUCCCGCUGUUGGUUAUUGACCGGAGAACGUCUCGGUCAUGUCUGCAUGUCUCCCGAACCCGUAGGGUCUACACACUUAAGGUUCGAUGACGCUAGGGUUAUAAAGGAAGUUUGUAUGUGGUUACCGAAUGUUGUUCGGAGUCCCGGAUGAGAUCCCGGACGUCACGAGGAGUUCCGGAAUGGUCCGGAGGUAAAGAUUUAUAUAUGGGAAGUCCUGUUUUGGUCACCGGAAAAGUUUCGGGGUUUAUCGGUAACGUACCGGGACCACCGGGAGGGUCCCGGAGGUCCACCAAGUGGGGCCACCAGCCCCGGAGGGCUUCAUGGGCCAAGUGUGGAAGGGGACCAGCCCCAGGUGGGCUGGUGCGCCCCCCCCCACAAGGUCCCAAGGCCCAAGGGAGAGGAGAAGGGGGCAAACCCUAGGGCAGAUGGGCCCUAAGGCCCAUCCUGGUGCGCCUCCCUCUCCCCCUCCCCCUUGGCCGCCCACCUUAGAUGGGAUCUAGGCUGGCCGCCACCCCUAGGGGUGGAAACCCUAAAGGGGGCACAGCCCCUCCCCUUCCCCUAUAUAUAGUUGAGGUUUGGGCUGCUCAUAACACGCGAGUUCCUCUCCUCUAUAUGACGCAGCCCUGCAUCUCUCCUUCCUCCUCUCCCGCGGUGCUUGGCGAAGCCCUGCAGGAUAGCCACGCUCCUCCAUCACCACCACGCCGUUGCGCUGCUGCUGGAUGGAGUCUUCCUCAACCUCUCCCUCUCUCCUUGCUGGAUCAAGGCAUGGGAGACGUCGUCGGGCUGUACAUGUGUUGAACACGGAGGUGUCGUCCGUUCGGCACUAGGAUCUCCGGUGAUUUGGAUCACGACGAGUACGACUCCAUCAACCCCGUUCUCUUGAACGCUUCCACUUAGCGAUCUACAAGGGUAUGUAGAUGCACUCUCCUUCCCCUCGUUGUUGGUCUCUCCAUAGAUAGAUCUUGGUGACACGUAGGAAAAUUUUGAAUUUCUGCUACGUUAUCCAACAGUGGCAUCAUGAGCUAGGUCUAUUGCGUAGAUUCUAUGCACGAGUAGAACACAAAGUAGUUGUGGGCAUUGAUUUUGUUCAAUAUGCUUACCGUUACUAGUCCAAUCUUGAUUCGGCGGCAUUGUGGGAUGAAGCGGCCCGGACCAACCUUACACGUACGCUUACGUGAGACCGGUUCCACCGACAAACAUGCACUAGUUGCAUAAGGUGGCUGGCGGGUGUCUGUCUCUCCCACUUUAGUCGGAUCGGAUUCGAUGAAAAGGGUCCUUAUGAAGGGUAAAUAGCAAUUGGCAUAUCACGUUGUGCUUUUUGCGUAGGUAAGAAACGUUCUUGCUAGAAACCCAUAGCAGCCACGUAAAACAUGCAAACAACAAUUAGAGGACAUCUAACUUGUUUUUGCAGGGUAUGCUAUGUGAUGUGAUAUGGCCAAGAAGAAUGUGAUGAAUGAUAUGUGAUGUAUGAGAUUGAUCAUGUUCUUGUAAUAGGAAUCAUGACUUGCAUGUCGAUGAGUAUGACAACCGGCAGGAGCCAUAGGAGUUGUCUUAAUUUAUUUAUGACCUGCGUGUCAACAUAAACGUCAUGUAAUUACUUUACUUUAUUGCUAACCGUUAGCUGUAGUAGUAGAAGUAAUAGUUGGCGAGACAACUUCAUGAAGACACGAUGAUGGAGAUCAUGAUGAUGGAGAUCAUGGUGUCAUGCCGGUGACAAGAUGAUCAUGGAGCCCCAAGAUGGAGAUCAAAGGAGCUAUAUGAUAUUGGCCAUAUCAUGUCACUAUUAUUUGAUUGCAUGUGAUGUUUAUCAUGUUUAUACAUCUUAUUUGCUUAGAACAACGGUAGUAAAUAAGAUGAUCCCUCAUUAAAAUUUCAAGAAAGUGUCCCCCCUAACUGUGCACCGUUGCGAAAGUUCGUCGUUUCGAAGCACCACGUGAUGAUCGGGUGUGAUAGAUUCUAACGUUCACAUACAACGGGUGUAAGACAGAUUUACACACGCGAAACACUUAGGUUGACUUGACGAGCCUAGCAUGUGUACAGACAUGGCCUCGGAACACAGAAGACCGAAAGGUCGAGCAUGAGUCGUAUGGUAGAUACGAUCAACAUGAAGAUGUUCACCGAUGAUGACUAGUGCGUCUCACGUGAUGAUCGGACACGGCCUAGUUGACUCGGAUCAUGUAAUCACUUAGAUGACUAGAGGGAUGUCUAUCUGAGUGGGAGUUCAUAAGAUGAACUUAAUUAUCCUGAACAUAGUCAAAAGGUCUUCGCAAAUUAUGUCGUGGCUCACGUUUCUGUUCUACUGUUUAGAUAUGUUCCUAGAGAAAAUUUAGUUGAAAGUUGAUAGUAGCAAUUAUGCGGACUAGGUCCGUAAACUGAGGAUUGUCCUCAUUGCUUCAUAGAAGGCUUAUGUCCUUAAUGCACCGCUCAGUGUGCUGAACCUCGAACGUUGUCUGUGGAUGUUGCGAACAUCUGACAUACACAUUUUGAUAACUACGUGAUAGUUCAGUUAAACGGUUUAGAGUUGAGGCACCGAAGACGUUUUGAAACGUCGCGAAACAUAUGAGAUGUUUCGAGGGCUGAAAUUGGGAUUUCAGGCUCGUGCCCACGUCAAGAGGUAUAAGACCUCCGAUGAUUUUCUUAGCCUGCAAACUAAGGGAGAAAAGCUCAAUUGUUGAGCUUGUGCUCAGAUUGUCUGAGUACAACAAUCGCUUGAAUCAAGUGGGAAUUGAUCUUCCAGAUGAAAUAGUGAUGCUUCUCCGAAGUCAUUACCACCAAGCUGCUUGAGCUUCGUGAUGAAAUAUAAUAUAGCAGGGACAUAUAUGAUGAUCCUUGAGAUAUUCGCGAUGUUUGACACCACAAAAGUAGAGAUCAAGAAGGAGCAUCAAUUGUUGAUGGUUGGUGAAACCACUAGUUUUCAAGAAGGGCAAGGGCAAAAAGGGAUGCUUCAUGAAAUGGCAAAUCAGCUGCUUCUCUAGUGAAGAAACCCAAGGUUGAACCCAAACCCGAGACUAAGUGCUUCUGUAAUAAGAGGAACAGCCACUGGAGCAGAAUUACCCUAGAUACUUGGUAGAUAAGAAGGCUGGCAAGGUCGAUAGAAGUAUAUUGGAUAUACAUUGUGUUGAUGUGUACUUUACUAGUACUCCUAGUAGCUCCAGGGUAUUAGAUACCGGUUCUGUUGCUAAGUGUUAGUAACUCGAAAUAAAAGCUACGGAAUAAACGGAGACUAGCUAAAGGUGAGCUGACGAUAUGUGUUGGAAGUGUUUCCAAUGUUGAUAUGAUCAAGCAUCGCACGCUCCCUCUACCAUCGAGAUUGGUGUUUGCGUUGAGCAUAGACAUGAUUGGAUUAUGUCUAUCGCAAUAUGGUUAUUGGAGAAUAAUGGUUACUCUGUUUAUUUGAAUAAUACCUUCAAUGGUCUUGCACCUAAAAUGAAUGGUUCAUUGAAUCUCGAUCAUAGUGAUACACAUGUUCAUGCCAAAAGAUAUAAGAUAGUAAUGAUAGUACCACCUACUUGUGGCACUGCCACUUAAGUUAUAUCGGUAUAAAACGCAUGAAGAGGCUCCAUGUUGAUGGAUCUUUGGACUCACUCAUUUUUGAAAAGUUUGAGACAUGCGAACCAUGUCUAUUGGUGUAUAUGCAUGAAGAAACUCCAUGCAAAUGGACCGUUUGGACUCACUUGAUUUUGAAUCACUUGAGACAUGCAAAUCAUACCACAUGGGCAAGAUGACUGAAAGCCUCGUUUUCAGUAAAAUGGAACUAGAAAGCAACUUGUUGGAAGUAAUACAUUUUGAUGUGUGCAGUCCAAUGAGUGCUGAGGCAUGUAGUGGAUAUCGUUAUGUUCUUACUUCAUAGAUGAUUUGAGUAGAUAUUGAGUAUAUUUACUUGAUGAAUCACGAGUCUGAAUUAUUGAAAGGUUCAAGUAAUUUCAGGGUGAAGUUGAAAGAUCGUCGUGACAAGAGGAUAAAAUAUCUAUGAUAUGAUCAUAGAGAUGAAUAUCUGAAUUAUGAGUUUGGCACAGAAUUAAGACAUUGUGGAAAUUGUUUCACAACUAAUACAGCCUGGAACACCGUAGUGUGAUGGUGUGUCCGAACAUCAUAACUGCACCCUAUUGGAUAUGAUGCAUACCAUGAUGUCUCUUAUCGAAUUACCACAAAAGUUUAUGGGUUAGGCAUUAGAGACAACCACAUUCACUUUAAAUAGGGCACUACGUAAUUCCGAUGAGAUGACACCGUAUGAACUAUGGUUUAGAGAAACCUAAAGCUGUCAUUUCUUAAAAGUUUGGGGCUGCGACGCUUAUGUGAAAAAGUUUCAGUCUGAUAAGCUCGAACCCAAAGCGGAUAAAUGCAUCUUUAUAGGACACCCAAAACAGUUGGGUAUACCUCCUGUCUCAGAUCCGAAAGCAAUAAGAGAUUGUUUCUAGAAUCGGGUCCUUUCUCGAGGAAAAGUUUCUCUCGAAAGAAUUGAGUGGGAGGAUGGUGGAGACUUAAUGAGGUUAUUGAACCGUCUCUUCAACUAGUGUGUGACAGGGCACAGGGAGUUGUUCCUGUGGCACCUACACCAAUUGAAGUGGAAGCUUAAGAUAGUGAUCAUGAAACUUCAGAUCAAGUCACUACCAAACCUCGUGGGAUGACAAGGAUGCGUACUACUUCAGAGUGGCACAUGAUCCUGUCUUGGAAGUCAUGUUGCUAGACAACAAUGAACCUACGAGCAAUGGAGAAGUGAUGGUGGGCCCGGAUUCCGAUAAAUGGCUCGAGGCCAUAAAAUCCGAGAGAGGAUCCAUAUAUGAAAACAAAGUGUAGACUUUGGAAGAACUACUUGAUGGUCGUAAGGCUGUUAGGUACAUAUGGAUUUUAAAAGGAAGACGGACAAUGAUGGUAAAUGUCACCAUUAAGAAAGCUCGACUUGUCGUUAAGAUGUUUUCCGACAAGUUCAAGGAGUUGACUGCAAUGAGACUUUCUCACUCGUAGCGAUGCUAAGAGUCUGUUGGAAUUAUAUUAGCGAUUACUGCAUUAUUUAUGAAAUCUUGCUGAUAUGAUGUCAAAACAUUGUUUCCUCGACGAUUUUCUUGAGGAAAGGUUGUAUGUGAUACAACCGGAAGGUUUUGUCAAUCCUGAAAGAUGCUAAUAAGUAUGCAAAGCUCUAGCAAUCCUUCUAGGACUGGAGUAAGCAUCUCGGAGUUGGAAUGUAUGCUUUGAUGAUGAUCAAAGAUUUUGGGUGUAUACAAAGUUUAUGAGAAACUUGUAUUUCCAAAGAAGUGAGUGGGAGCACUAUAGAAUUUCUGAUAAAUAUGUGUUGUUGACAUAUUGUUGAUCAGAAAUGACGUAGAAUUUCUGGAAAGCAUAUAGGGUUAUUUGGAAAGUGUUUUUCAAUGGAAAGCCUGGAUUAAGCUACUUGAACAUUGAGCAUCAAGAUCUAUAAGGAUAGAUCAAAACGCUUAAUGGUACUUUCAAAUGAGCACAUACCUUGACAUGAUCUUGAAGGUGUUCAAGAUGGAUCAGUCAAAGAAGGAAUUCUUGCCUGAGUUGUAAGGUAUGAAGUUAAGACUUAAAGCUCGACCACGGCAGAAUAGAGAGAAAGGACGAAGGUCGUCCCCUAUGCUUAAGACAUAGGCUCUACAGUAUGCUAUGUUGUGUACCGCACCUGAAAUGUGCCUUGCCAUGAGUCAGUCAAGGGGUACAAUAGUGAUCUAAGAAUGGAUCACAGGAUAGCGGUCAAAGUUAUCCUUAGUAAUUAGUGGACUAAGGAAUUUUCUCGGUUAUGGAGGGAUAAAGAGUUCGACGUAAAGAGUUACGUCGAUGCAAGCUUAACACCUAUCCGGAUAGCUCUGAGUAGAGAUACCGGAUACGUAUAAUGGAGCAACAAUUUAGAAUAGCUCCAAGUAGAACAGUUAUUUGGAAUAGCUCCAAAUAUAGCGUAGUAGCUGCAUCUACAAGAUGACAUAGAGAUUUGCGAAGUACAUACGGAUCUGAAAGAUUCAGACCCGUUGACUAUAACAUCUCUCACAAGCAUAACAUGAUCAAACCCAGAACUCAUCGAGUGUUAAUCACAUGGUAAUGUGAACUAGAUUAUUGACUCUAGUAAACUCUUUGUGUGUUGGUCACAUGGCGAUGUGACCUGUGAGUGUUAAUCACAUGACGAUGUGAACUAGAUUAUUGACUCUAGUGCAAGUGGGAGACUGUUGGAAAUAUGCCCUUGGGGCAAUAAUAAAUUAGUUAUUAUUAUAUUUCCUUGUUCAUGAUAAUCGUUUAUUAUCCAUGCUAGAAUUGUAUUGAUAGGAAACUCAGAUACAUGUGUGGAUACAUAGACAACACCAUGUCCCUAGUAAGCCUCUAGUUGACUAGCUCGUUGAUCAAUAGAUGGUUACGGUUUCCUGACCAUGGACAUUGGAUGUCGUUGAUAACGGGAUCACAUCAUUAGGAGAAUGAUGUGAUGGACAAGACCCAAUCCUAAGCCUAGCACAAAGAUCAUGUAGUUUGUAUGCUAAAGCUUUUCUAAUGUCAAGUAUCAUUUCCUUAGACCAUGAGAUUGUGCAACUCCCGGAUACCGUAGGAGUGCUUUGGGUGUGCCAAACGUCACAACGUAACUGGGUGGCUAUAAAGGUACGCUACAGGUAUCUCCGAAAGUGUCUGUUGGGUUGGCACGAAUCGAGACUGGGCAAGUAUCGUAUCGAUAGACAGAGGGAAUUGUAUACGGGAUUGAUUAAGUCCUUGACAUCGUGGUUCAUCCGAUGAGAUCAUCGUGGAACAUGUGGGAGCCAACAUGGGUAUCCAGAUCCCGCUGUUGGUUAUUGACCGGAGAACGUCUCGGUCAUGUCUACAUGUCUCCCGAACCCGUAGGGUCUACACACUUAAGGUUCGAUGACGCUAGGGUUAUAAAGGAAGUUUGUAUGUGGUUACUGAAUGUUGUUCGGAGUCCCCGAUGAGAUCCCGGACGUCACGAGGAGUUCCGGAAUGGUCCGGAGGUAAAGAUUUAUAUAUGGGAAGUCCUGCUUUGGUCACCGGAAAAGUUUCAGGGUUUAUCGGUAACGUACCGGGACCACCGAGAGGGUCCCGGGGGUCCACCAAGUGGGGCCACCAGCCCCGGAGGGCUUCAUGGGCCAAGUGUGGAAGGGGACCAGCCCCAAGUGGGCUGGUGUGCCCCCUCCCCCCCCCCCACAAGGGCCCAAGGCGCAAGGGAGAGGAGAAGGGGGCGAACCCUAGGGCAGAUNNNNNNNNNNNNNNNNNNNNNNNNNNNNNNNNNNNNNNNNNNNNNNNNNNNNNNNNNNNNNNNNNNNNNNNNNNNNNNNNNNNNNNNNNNNNNNNNNNNNNNNNNNNNNNNNNNNNNNNNNNNNNNNNNNNNNNNNNNNNNNNNNNNNNNNNNNNNNNNNNNNNNNNNNNNNNNNNNNNNNNNNNNNNNNNNNNNNNNNNNNNNNNNNNNNNNNNNNNNNNNNNNNNNNNNNNNNNNNNNNNNNNNNNNNNNNNNNUAGUGCGCCUCCCUCUCCCCCUCCCCCUUGGCCGCCCCCCUUAGAUGGGAUCUAGGCUGGCCGCCACCCCUAGGGGUGGAAACCCUAAAGGGGGUGCAGCCCCUCCCCUUCCCCUAUAUAUAGUUGAGGUUUGGGCUGCUCAUAACACGCGAGUUCCUCUCCUCUAUAUGACGCAGCCCUGCAUCUCUCCUUCCUCCUCUCCCGCGGUGCUUGGCGAAGCCCUGCAGGAUAGCCACGCUCCUCCAUCACCACCACGCCAUUGUGCUGCUGCUGGAUGGAGUCUUCCUCAACCUCUCCCUCUCUCCUUGCUAGAUCAAGGCAUGGGAGACGCCGUCGGGCUGUACGUGUGUUGAACGCGGAGGUGCCGUCCGUUCGGCACUAGGAUCUCCGGUGAUUUGGAUCACGACGAGUACGACUCCAUCAACCCCGUUCUCUUGAACGCUUCUGCUUAGCGAUCUACAAGGGUAUGUAGAUGCACUCUCCUUCCCCUCGUUGCUGGUCUCUCCAUAGAUAGAUCUUGGUGACACGUAGGAAAAUUUUGAAUUUCUGCUACGUUAUCCAACAGGAAUUUCAUUAAAAGUAUUACCCUAUGCAUCUUGUUCAUCGUGAUCGCAAUUAUAUAUAUAAUUUUUGGCGUCGCGAAGGAGAAAGCAUCGCUCAAGCUUGGGGAGGCUUAAAUCAAUGUUAUAUUCAUGCCCCAAUCAUGAGCUCUCAAGAGAAAUGAUUAUUCAAAAUUUAUAUGCUCGGCUUUCUGAUAACAAUCGCACCAUGCUCGAUACUUCUUGUGCUGGCUCUUUUAUGAUAAAGACUACUGAAUUCAGAUGGAAUUUAUUGGAUAGAAUUAAACGCAACUCUGAAGAUUGGGACCUCGACAAAGGUAAGGAGUCAGGUAUGACACCUAAGUUUGAUUGUGUUAAAUCUUUUAUGGAUACCGAUAUUUUCCGCAAGUUUAGCACUAAAUAUGGACUUGACUCUGAGAUAGUAGCUUCUUUCUGUGAAUCUUUUGCUACUUAUGUUGAUCUCCCUAAGGAGAAGUGGUUUAAAUACCAUCCUCCCAUAGAAGUAAAAGUAGCUGCACCUAUUAAAGUUGAAGAAAAGACUGUCACUUAUAAUGAUCCUAUUGUUCCUACUUCUUAUAUUGAGAAACCACCUUUCCCCGUUAGAAUAAAGGAUCAUGCUAAAGCUUCAACUGUUGUUCGUAAAAGCAAUAUUAGAACUUAUACACCUCCUGAGAAAGUUAAAGUAGAACCUAAUAUUGCUAUUGUUAAAGAUCUCUUGUCUGAUAAUAUUGAUGGGCAUGUUAUUCAGUUCAAAGGUGAAACUGCUAGGAUUGCUAAACCUUGUGAUAAAGAUAAACAUAGACUUGUGGUAGGCAUGCCUGUUAUUUCUGUUAAAAUAGGAGAUCAUUGUUAUCAUGGCUUAUGUGAUAUGGGUGCUAGCGCUAGUGUAAUACCUAUUGACUUAUACGAAGAAAUUAAGAAUGAAAUUGCACCUGUUGAGUUAGAAGAUAUUGAUGUCACAAUUAAACUUGCCAAUAGAGAUACUAUUUCACCAAUUGGAAUUGUUAGAGAUGUUGAAGUCUUGUGUGGGAAAACUAAAUAUCCUGCUGAUUUUCUUGUUCUUAAUUCUCCACAAGAUAACUUUUGUCCCAUUAUAUUUGGUAGACCCUUCUUAAAUACUGUUAAUGCUACCAUAGAUUGCACAAAGAAUGUUGUUAUUGUUGGCUUGGAUGAUAUGGUUCAUGAGUUUAAUUUCUCUAAAUUUAGUAAACAACAUCGUGAGGAAGAAUUACCUAGUAAGGAUGAAAUUAUUGGUCUUGCUUCUAUUGCCGUACCUCCUAGUGAUCCUUUAGAACACUAUUUGCUAGACCAUGAAAAUGAUAUGUUCAUGAAUGAAAGAAGGGAAAUAGAUGAAGUAUUCUUUAAACAGGAACCUAUUCUGCAUCACAACUUGCCUGUUGAAAUAUUAGGGGAUCCUCCUCCACCCAAGGGUGAUGCCGUGUUUGAGCUUAAAUCUUUGCCUGAUAAUCUUAAAUAUGCUUAUCUUCAUGAAAAGAAGAUAUAUCCUGUUAUUAUUAGUGCUAACCUUUCAGAGCAUGAAGAAGAAAGAUUAUUGAAAACUCUGAAGAAGCAUCAUACUGCUAUUGGAUAUACUCUUGAUGAUCUUAAGGGCAUUAGUCCCACUCUAUGUCAACAUAAACUAAAUUUGGAAGCAGAUGCCAAACCAGUUCGUGAUCCUCAACGACGUCUGAAUCCUAAAAUGAAAGAAGUGGUAAGAAAAGAAAUACUAAAGCUUCUGGAGGUAGGUAUAAUCUAUCCCGUUGCUGAUAGUGAGUGGGUAAGUCCUGUCCAUUGUGUCCCUAAGAAAGGAGGUAUUACUGUUGUUCCUAAUGAUAAAGAUGAAUUGAUUCCACAAAGAAUUAUCACAGGUUAUAGGAUUGUAAUUGAUUUCCGCAAAUUAAAUAAAGCUACUAAGAAAGAUCAUUACCCCUUACCUUUUAUUGAUCAAAUGCUAAAAAUAUUAUGCAAACAUACACACUAUUGCUUUCUAGAUGGUUAUUCUGGUUUCUCUCAAAUACCUGUGUCGGCUAGAGAUCAAUCAAAGACUACUUUUACAUGCCCUUUUGGUACUUUUGCUUAUAGAUAUAUGCCUUUUGGUUUAUGCAAUGCACCCGCUACUUUUCAAAGAUGCAUGAUGGCUAUAUUCUCUGACUUUUGUGAAAAGAUUUGUGAGGUUUUCAUUGACGACUUUUCCAUCUAUGGUUCCUCUUUUGAUGAUUGCUUGAGCAAUCUUGAUCGAGUUUUGCAGAGAUGUGAAGAAACUAAUCUUGUCUUGAAUUGGGAAAAUUGCCACUUUAUGGUUAAUGAAGGUAUUGUCUUGGGGCACAAAGUUUCUGAAAGAGGUAUUGAAGUUGAUAAAGCCAAGGUUGAUGCGAUUGAAAAGAUGCCAUGUCCCAAGGACAUCAAAGGUAUAAGAAGUUUCCUUGGUCAUGCCGGAUUUUACAGGAGGUUCAUUAAGGACUUCUCAAAAAUUUCUCGGCCUCUGACUAAUUUAUUGCAAAAAGAUAUACCAUUUGUCUUUGAUGAUGAUUGUGUAGAAGCAUUUGAAACACUUAAGAAAGCAUUAGUCUCUGCACCUGUUGUUCAGCCACCUGAUUGGAACCUACCCUUUGAAAUUAUGUGUGAUGCUAGUGAUUAUGUAGUAGGUGCUGUUUUAGGGCAAAGAGUUGAUAAGAAAUUAAAUGUUAUUCAUUAUGCUAGUAAGACUCUAGACAAUGCUCAAAGAAAUUAUGCUACUACUGAAAAAGAACUCUUAGCAAUUGUAUUUGCUUGUGAUAAGUUCAGAUCUUAUAUUGUUGAUUCUAAAGUAACUAUUCAAACUAAUCAUGCUGCUAUUAAAUAUCUUAUGGAAAAGAAGGAUGCUAAACCUAGACUUAUUAGAUGGGUUCUCUUGCUACAAGAAUUUUAUUUGCAUAUUGUUGAUAGAAAGGGAGCUGAGAACCCCGUUGCAGACAACUUGUCUAGGUUAGAAAAUAUUCUUGAUGACCCACUACCUAUUAAUGAUAGCUUUCCUGAUGAACAAUUAAAUGUUAUAAGUACUUCUUGUAAUACUCCAUGGUAUGCUGAUUAUGCUAAUUAUAUUGUUGCUAAGUUUAUACCACCUAGCUUCACAUACCAGCGAAACAAAAAGUUUUUCUAUGAUUUAAGACAUUACUUUUGGGAUGACCCACAUCUUUAUAAGGAAGGAGUAGAUGGUGUUAUUAGACGUUGUGUACCUGAGCAUGAACAGGAACAGAUCCUACGCAGGUGUCAUUCCGAGUCUUAUGGAGGACACCACACUGGAGAUAGAACUGCACAUAAAGUAUUGCAAUCUGGUUUUUAUUGGCCUACUCUCUUCAAGGAUGCCCGUAAGUUUGUCUUGUCUUGUGAUGAAUGUCAAAGAAUUGGUAAUAUUAGUAGACGUCAAGAAAUGCCUAUGAAUUAUUCUCUUGUUAUUGAACCGUUUGAUGUUUGGGGCUUUGAUUAUAUGGGACCUUUUCCUGCCUCUAAUGGAUACACACAUAUUUUAGUUGUUGUUGAUUACGUUACUAAGUGGGUAGAAGCUAUUCCAACUAGUAGUGUUGGUCAUAACACUUCUAUUAAAAUGCUUAAGGAAGUUAUUUUCCCGAGGUUUGGAGUCCCUAGAUAUUUAAUGACUGAUGGUGGUUCACACUUUAUUCAUGGUGCCUUCCGUAAAAUGCUUGCUAAAUAUGAUGUUAAUCAUAGAAUUGCAUCUCCUUAUCACCCACAGUCUAGUGGUCAAGUAGAGUUGAGCAAUAGAGAGCUCAAACUAAUUUUGCAAAAGACUGUUAAUAGGUCUAGAAAGAAUUGGUCCAAGAAACUUGAUGAUGCAUUAUGGGCUUAUAGAACUGCAUACAAAAAUCCUAUGGGUAUGUCUCCGUAUAAAAUGGUAUAUGGAAAAGCAUGUCACUUACCUCUCGAACUAGAACAUAAGGCAUAUUGGGCUAUUAAAGAGCUUAACUAUGAUUUUAAACUUGCUGGUGAGAAGAGGUUAUUUGAUAUUAGCUCACUUGAUGAAUGGAGAACCCAAGCUUAUGAAAAUGCCAAGUUGUUUAAAGAAAAAGUUAAAAGAUGGCAUGACAAAAGGAUACAAAAACGUGAGUUUAAUGUAGGUGAUUAUGUAUUGCUAUACAACUCUCGUUUAAGAUUUUUUGUAGGAAAACUUCUCUCUAAAUGGGAAGGCCCCUAUGUUAUCGAAGAGGUCUAUCGUUCUGGUGCCAUAAAGAUCAACAACUUUGAAGGCACAAAUCCGAAAGUGGUAAACGGUCAAAGAAUCAAACAUUAUAUCUCAGGUAAUCCCAUAAAUGUUGAAACCAAUAUUAUUGAAACCGUAACCCCGGAGGAAUACAUAAGAGACACUUUCCGGAAUGUUUCAGACUCCAAAAAGGAAUAGGUAUGUGGUACGGUAAGUAAACUGACUCCAAAACAAUUUUUAAGGCAAUAUUUCUCUGUUUUGGAAUAUUUAGAAAAAUAGAAAAUUAAGUAGCAGUCCGGGAAGGACACGAGGGCCCCACGAGGGUGGUGGGCGUGCCCUACCCCCUGGGCGCGCCCCCUACCUCGUGAGCACCUCGUGUGCCUUCCGGACUCCGUUUUCUUGCACGUUACGUAUUUUGGUCAGUAAAAAUUCAUUAUAUAACCUCCCGAAGGUUUUGACUCCCGUAUCACGCAAACCCCCUCUGUUCUUGUUUCGAGCUAUUUUUCUGACAGAUCUAGAUUAUCAUGACGUCCCCAAGUGCUUCCAAGGACAAGUUCUUCGAGAAGGUCAUCAACCCUUACCUCGCGGAGGUGUUGUGACACCCUCAAACCAUUGAGAUGCGUGAUGGGUUUGUUGCACAUCCGUGAUGUUGAGGGACCAAAGGGAACCGGAAGCGUGGAGACGAGGCUCGAAGCAAUGGAGCAACAAAUUUUCAAGUGCCAGGGGAUGGCGGAGCGUGGAAUCAAUGCUAGCCACACGAUGCUCGUGGAGUUCACCAACAACUACAAGCCGGAUACCAAGAACACCGAGGAGGCCAUCUUCAAGCUAUAUGAGAAGAUUGAGCACCUCCAAGCUCAAAUCUAUGACCUACAAAACCAAAACUGUGAGUAUGAAUAUAGAUUCAAAAGAAUGAGUUUGGCUGCAGAUUCGAGGAUUCCAGAGACUCGAUCAUCCUUCUAUGAUGGUGAACCUAUGCCUUGGAAGAUGGAUGACAAGCCCGCAUCAUCAACAACACCUCCACCUUCUUCACCGACAAAGGAGACAUAAUCACUUGGGUAUGGGCACUCCCCUUGGCAACUGCCAAUCUUGGGGGGGUGCCCCGGUAUCGUAUCACAAUCACAACUCCUAUCUUUACCGUUUUUCUUAGUUCGAUCCUAUUAGUAGUACCUUGAUCUAGUAGAAUAAAGUUUAUGGCAUGAUCUAGUUUUGAGUUUUGCUUUACGAUCUCUCUAUGUAAUCGAGUUCGUGAGCUAUAUAUAAUAAAGAUUAGUGUUGAGUCAAGGGCUUGAUUAUUUUGCCAUGAUCUUGGGUGAAUAAAAGAAAAGAGAAAAGAAUAAAAAGAAACAAGAAGUUCAUAUUGAUCUUAUUGAGAGUAAUGACUUCACAUAGAAAGAGUAUGAUGAUUAAAAGUUGUUGGGAGUUGGCAAACAUAGCUUUUGUCAUUGUUGUAAUUAAUAGGAAGUAAUAAGGAAAGAGAGGUUUUCACAUAUAGAUAUAUUAUCAUUGACAUCUUUUAUGAUUGGGAACACUCAUUAAAAUAUGACAUGCUAAAGAGUUGAUGUUGGACAAGGAAGACAACGUAAUGAGUUAUGUCUUUCUUAUAUCCGAGAUAAAAUAUGUUGUCAUGGAUCCUGCCAAAUUCUUAGCACCAAGUAGAAAUACUACUUGUGCUUCCAAACACCCUUAAACCAGUUUUGCCAUGAGAGUCCACCAUAUCUACAUAUGGAUUGAGUAAGAUCCUUAAAGUAAGUUGUCAUCGGUGCAAAGCAAUAAAAAUUGCUCUAAAUAUGUAUGAUUGAUUGGUGUGGGAGAAAUAAGCUUUAUACGAUCUUGUGAUGUGGAAGUAAUAAAAGCGACGGACUGCAUAAUAAAGGUUCAUAUCACAAGGGGCAAUAUAAAGUGACAUUCUUUCGCAUUGAGAUUUUGUGCAUCCAACCAUAAAAGCGCAUGGAAACCUCCGCUUCCCUCUGCGAAGGGCCUAUCCUUUAUUAUUAUCUUCUACCUUCUACAAGAGUCAUGGUGAUCUUCACCUUUUCUUUUUCAUUUUAUCCUUUGGCAAGCUCAGCAUGUUGGAAAGAACAUGAUAUAUAUAUAUAUAUAUAUAUAUAUAUAUAUAUAUAUAUAUAUAUAUAUCUAAUUGGAUGUAGGGGAGCAUGAACCAUUAUUGUUGACAUUACCCUUGAGGUAAAAGGUUGUGGGGCAAAACUAUAAGCCCCUAUCUUUCUCUGUGUCCGAUUAAAACUCCGUAACCACAAGUAUCGUGUGAGUGUUAGCAAUUAUGGAGGACUAAAUGAUAGUUGAGUAUGUGGACUUGCUUUUUAGCUCUGACAUAGACUCUUUCCGAUGUUAUGAUAAAUUGCAAUUGCUUCAAUGAUUGAGAUUAUAGUUUGUCGGAGCCCAAUAAGGUUUAUGAUUUAUACUUUUGCAUUGUGAAUAGAUCAUCAUUUGAACAUAAGUAAUCAUAUGACAAGAGCUAUAUAUGUUGCUGUUAUGAGAAUAAUCAUGAUGCCUUCAUGUCCAUAUUUUAUUUUUAUCGAUGCCUCUACCUCUAAACAUGAGGACAUAUUUAUUGUUAUCGGCUUUUCGCUUGAGGACAAGCGAGGUAUAAGCUUGGGGGAGUUGAUACGUCCAUUUUGCAUCAUGCUUUUAUAUCGAUAUUUAUUGCAUUAUGGACUGUUAUUUCACUUUAUGUCACAAUACUUAUGGCUAUUCUCUCCUAUUUUACGAGGUUUACAUAAGGAGGGAGAAUGCCGGCAGCUGGAAUUCUGGGCUAGAAAAGAAGCAAAUAUUAGAGACCUAUUCUGUGCAACUCCAAAAGUCCUAAAACUCCACGGAACGUCUUAAAAUAAAUAAAUAAAAAUCCUCGCCAAAGAUGAAGGCCAGGGGGCCCACACCCUGCUCACGAGGGUGGGGGCGCCCCCCCUAGGGCGCGCCCCCUACCUCAUGGGCCCCCUGGUGGCUCUCCGACGCCCAUCUUCUCCUAUAUGAAGUCUUUCGAUGAGAAAAAAAGGAGGAACUUUUCGGGACAAGACUCCGCGGCCACGAGGCGGAACCUUGGCGGAUCCAAUCUAGAGCUCCGGCAGAGCUGUUCUGCCGGGGAAACUUCCCUCCGGGAGGGGGAAAUCAUCACCAUCGUCAUCACCAACGCUCCUCUCAUCGGGAGAGGGCAAUCUUCAUCAACAUCUUCACCAGCACCAUCUCAUCUCCAAACCCUAGUUCAUCUCUUGCAUCGAAUUCUUGUCUCAAAGUCCGGGAUUGGUGCUAGUAGGUUGCUAGUAGUGUUGAUUACUCCUUGUAGUUGAUGCUAGUUGGUUUAAUUGGUGGAAGAUCAUAUGUUUAGAUCCUAUAUGCAUAUUAUUACCCCUCUGAUUAUGAAAUGAAUAUGCUUUGUGAGUAAUUACGUUCGUUCCUGAGGACAAGGGAGAAGUCUUGCUAAUAGUAGUCAUGUGAAUUUGGUAUUCGUUUGAUAUUUUGAUAAGAUGUAUGUUGUCUAGCCUCUAGUGGUGUUAUGUGAACGUCGACUACAUAACACUUCACCAUUAUUUAGGCCUAGAGGAAGGCAUUGGGAAGUAAUAAGUAGAUGAUGGGUUGCUAGAGUGACAGAAGCUUAAACCCUAGUUUAUGCGUUGCUUCGUAAGGGGCUGAUUUGGAUCCAUAUGUUUCAUGCUAUGGUUAGGUUUACCUUAAUACUUUUGUUGUAGUUGCGGAUGCUUGCAAUAGAGGUUAAUCAUAAGUGGGAUGUUUGUUCAAGUAAUAACAGCACCCAAGAACCGGUCCACCCACAUAUCAAAUUAUCAAAGUAUCGAACGCGAAUCAUAUGAACUUGAUGAAAACUAGCUUGGCGAUAUUCCCAUGUGUCCUCGGGAGCGCUUUUCCUAUUAUAAGAGUUUGUUCCGGCUUAUCCUUUGCUACAAAAGGAUUGGGCCACCUUGCUGCACUUUAUUUACUUUUGUUACUUGUUGCUCAUUGCAAUUUAUCCCGUCACAAAACUAUCUGUUACCACUUAUUUCAGUACUUGCAGAGAAUACCUUGCUAAAAACCGCUUAUCAUUUCCUUCUGCUCCUCGUUGGGUUCGACACUCUUACUUAUCGAAAGGACUACGAUAGAUCCCCUAUACUUGUGGGUCAUCAUUAUCUCAUUCAAGCCUUCUAAUUCAACCGGUGCAUUCUCUAUUUUAAAUCAUUCUAUGGUGUAUCUUUUGAGUGGGCCCUAACCCACAUGUCUUUUCCCAGGAUCUUACCUAACUCUUCUAAUUUUCCCGGAGCUAUUCUCAAAUCUUCUAAAGUUUGACGUAAGAAUGAAUUAUCAUGAGUCAUAUGUAUUUCUCCAAGAUCUGUCAAAUUCUUUUUACCGUUGGUUCAACCUUUCUAUUCGUCAUCCCGGAGUAUCUCAACAAUUAAUGGUGGUGUUUCUCGUCGUCAUUCUCAACAUUUGAAGACUAAAGAAGAUUUUUUUUCUCAAAUCUUAUCCGUUUCCCUCAAAGAUUCGUGAUUCUAGCUUGUUGCCAUCCUCUCAUAUUUGUUUUCAAUUGUGAGAAUCCUUUUCACCCAUUAGGAGCUAUUCAAGAGUAUUUUCAGUUUGAUUCUCCGGAGCCCAUCAUUUCAGAAGAUUUAUUCAUUCUCGGCUUUCAGCUAUCUUUUCCCAAAUCUUAUCGGUGCAUCGUUCAAAUAUCCUCUAAUUAGUUUAUGAUCUCUUCGUUCACUUGUAUCUAAAUUCUCUCAAGCAUCUUCGUUCAUUUGCUAAUUCUUCUCGGUGUUUUCCUUAUCUUUUCUUUGUUCAUUUUCAUUUCUUUUGGCGGUUUGUUCAAGAGUUCUCUUCCUUGGUUAUCAUAUCAAUUUAUUCAUUCUUUCCAAUCCUACUGGUGGUUCGUCGAAGACCUUCUCAAGUUAUGCUAUAUCUCUCUUAAUCCUCUUCAACGAGAAUAAGUAGUAUGCCAAAUCCGUUUGCUCGUCAUCAAUUUAAUUGAUAAAGGAUAAACAUAAUGUAAUUCUUAUUCUUGUUUCAUCCAAGUGAGUAAUUCCUUAUUUCGGAGGUUCAUCAAAAUUCUUGAUUUCUUUUAUUCAUAUUUCUUUCCGGAGUUCCAAGUUUUUCCGCAUUAUCUCGCCGCGAAGCUCCAUCUAAAUCAUCGCAAGGUUUCACCUUGUGUUUUCAACUUCUCUUUCCUUUCGUUUGAUCAUCCUUUUGUUACCGGAGUUCUUCAUGGAGGCUCUACAUGGUGGUUCAUCAAGGAUUUAAAUACCUUCUCGAAGGGUUCAUCGAGAUUCUUUUCAGAGGAGCUUAGGUUUUCCUCAUCUUGCAAUCCGGAGUGCAAUUCUUUCUCUCUUAUCUUGUGAGGUGGUGUUAUGUCAUUUUUGACAAUUUGAGCUCGUGUUUCAUGAUUCACAUGUUGUCAAGAAUGAGAUAUUUUAAAUCCACCAAUCUCUUCAUUGGAGUUAUCUGGGGUUAUAUUUCACCUAAAGCUUUCCCUAAGGAUUGUUGCUAAUUAUGGUGUUUAUAAAUGACCCAAGUUCUUCAUUUAUCCUCCCGGUGAAAUAAGCUUCUCCUCUCCUUGUUGACAUCAAUCCAAGCAAUUGUUUCUGUUUGUGGCAAGUUUUCACCUCAAGUUUUUGAGAUGUUUUCCAUAAGCCCACAACAAGGUUACUCUUUUCGUUGUUGGAUUUCCAACAAUACCGUUCGACCCUUCUCCUAAAUGUGCUUUUUCAAGCUCAUUUGAGGUAGAAGAUGUUGUUUUCUCCUCCGUUCUUUUGAUUCCAUUAUUUUAUCUCUUCCGGAGGCAUUGUGGUGUUGCUCUCUUCACUCAUCAUCUCGGAUUGUCAGGACCAUGUUCUUUUCGUGCUUAUCCUUUUAACCGGAGUGUUGUGUCCUCUUUUCAAGCAUCCUCUCAUCUUGUCAAGUUCAUAUUCUUUACCUUCCAUUUCCAACCGGAGUGUUGUCAUAAUUGAUCCUUAUCGCUCCUUGUACAUCUCGUUUCUACCGGAGUGCUUGCAUGUACUUCUUGUCCAUUGCAACCCUUUUUCUUAUGUCUGUCAACCUACAAGGUUCUCGUAAUGUUCCUUGUUACUUUUCUAACGGAUUGUUUUCAACUUCGUUCAUCUUCGUUGUAUUUUUUUCUUUCAAUUUGUUCAACCUCUCAAGGUUCUUUGGUCUCACUCGUUUGUCAAAGAAGCAACUUAGUUUUACCUUUUCUCUUUCUCUUCCGUUUUUCCCUCCGGUGCCAUUCUAGAUCUCGGGACGAGAUCCUCUCGUAGUGGUGGAGUGUUGUGACGCCCCGAGACCGAUGCGCCAGGUGUCUUCCAGUUAUUCGCUGUUGUUGCCUUGUCAUUUGCUUGCAUGUCAUGUGCAUUGCAUCAUGUCAUCAUGCAACCCGUUUUAAAACUCACUAAAUAAAUUGGAUGGAUCUUAGGUCCAUUUAAACCGAGGGAAGGGUGACUUCUCUUUAUAACAUACUAGAUGACUCGUUGCGCCAAUGGCGCAAGGGGCGAGAGGGAGCCAAGUAUUAUGAGAAUAUUUAGACACCCAAGUUGAAACCAAAUGUGGCCAACACUCCCGCAUCCUCUGCUUGGAAGCCACCUUUUCUCACCGGGUCUAACAUAGAUACAUGAUUCUUCAAGAGCAAAUUUCAGAGAAACUAUAAAUCAUGACCCUCAGAGUGAUUAUGCAAAAUAUAAACACAUAGCCAUCUUGAGAUCGACAGCAAUGCACCAACGACUUUUUUCAAACCGCCAUAACUUUGGCAAACAAACACUUGCCGAUCAUCUUGAGAAAGUCCAUGCCUCCAAAGUGCGUUAUACAAAUAUUCCAUGCUAUCAAAGGCACUUCCGAUCUAACAAAGAUUCAAAUGCCAAGCCUAACAAUGAAUAACAACAAACAACCACAUUCUAAAAUGUACUGAACUUGGAUAUGCACUUUGUUACUUCAUUUUAUAAACCGUUAUAAGCGCUAUAAUUUCUUUCAUUUAUCUGAUUUAAUUGUCCCAAACUCCCAAUACAUAUUUAAACUGUGUUGUGGGCUUACAAGAGACAAAUGACAAAUUCACAAUAAUGGGCCAGCCAAAGUUACUUGACCAAGCGAUGUUAAUCCACUUACUCACUUCAUGACCAUCCCCUCCUUCUCCAAUCUCUCACUCACCCUGUAGUUUCCACUGCAUCGCCGCUGCUCCUCUGCAUCGGAGAGACGACUUCAAUUGCAAGAUCCACUCCCGCACGCACAAGAUCUAAUUCCUCCAAUGUACACAUCGCGUCACCAGGUCAGUUCGUUAGCUGGAUCCUCACCAGGUCAGGCUACCUCAACCACUUCCAAGUGAACCUUCACAAACAACACAGUAUUACAUCUAAAAGAUAACAAGUAAAUUCGGAGUAUUUCAGUUUUGAGCUGAUAAUUUUUUCCUAGAGGCAAGGUCAAAGAUAACAAAGUUUUACUUUUGAAACAAAGGCAGUAGUGUAAUUAUUAGCCAUCAUUAAAAUCAAUAUUGUCUCAUGAAAAUGCCUACCCUGUUGACCCACUAAUGGCAACUACAAAAUGUUUGGUUCAUCAUGCCUAAUUCAAAUUAGCUUCAAUGCCUCAUGUUUACUUCCAUAGCCUGAACUGAUAAAUCACUGAAACUUCUUCUCUGCUAAACCUAUGUCUACUUGCUAAUCAACACCCGAGUAAUAACAUGGUAGAUCAUCAUACAUGUUUAUCUCCUGUUUUCUUGAUGUCUGAGUAACAGUAUAUGCAUGUGUACUCUACAGUUUAAACAAGCUCAAUGCCCUACUAUUCUGGUUGAUAGCUGACUGUUGAGUCACUGGCACUAAGGUUGCUAAUAGAACGAUGCACUUACAGAGAGUCCAUGAACAAGAUAGCAAGCAGAAAAUAUAACAUAAAAUAGAGAUGUAAUUCCCCUUUGUACUAUGAUGUAUAUGCUUGUUUAGGGCAGACCAUAUAUCUUCAGAAAUCUGUACCUUAUCAGCUAUUUGAUUUGGUUACCGCAGUUCGGUCUUUUCCCUCUUGUGAGUUCUGCACCAUCCUCACAUGAUUCAUCAACAACCACCUAGAAACGAUCAGCAGAAAAAAAUCAAAGUGAAAUCAAAUGGAAUCACAUGUGUAGGUAGUAGCGAAGUACGAUAUGCCACUCCAUUGGCACUUCACCUGUACACCAUGCAACAUCAAGUGAGGCAUGAGCAAUAAAGUGAUCAGAUACCAACAUCAUGUAUUAAGCACAAAUCAUGAAUCAAUACCAGAGGACCAAAUAGUGUCACACCUCUGUACUAACAACCGAACUAUUUUUAGAAGAACAGGGAGGCUCUAACAACCAACAUUUUAGCAUGUCAUUUGUUUAACAACCAAGCCGUUUACCAAGCAAAACCACAAUAGCUAAAUCUCCCAAGAGCAUACUUUCAGAGAAGCACAGUCUAGAUCAUGCACCCACAAAUAAACGGCUUGGUUUUCAACUGGCAUAACAAUUUCCUCCCUACCGCAAGCCUCUGCCUGCAGCUUUAAACUGAACCAUCAAGUUCGAAUGUCAUUUAUUUACAAAAGUAUUGCUAUGGCAGUCUAAUUUCCCAAGGGCAGGGGUGCAAUAUACUUUCAGAAUAUGCAGUUCAGAUCAUGCAGUUAGAAAUAAACUUUAUGGUAGUAACUCUACAGGACUUGCUAUUCAAUCAUCUUUUCUAGUACCCAUUUUGAACACGAUACAAUGAUUAGCUCCUAUUAUGUAAGGUCACACCAUUUAAAUCGAGAAUUGCUCACAUUUCAUGAUUUUUUAGUUAUCCUAGUAGUGUUUACUUGCACAUCAAGAUUAUCAUAGUUACAGUUAGAGAGGCAUUGUCCUAUCAUAAUUUAAAUAUCAGAAGCUGACAGGAGUAAUGUAAAUACAUAUGGUCGAGACAUAAUUUUGUAGCAAAAUGUGACAGAGAGGCAAUAGAUUACAUGUGAAGGCACCCACAAAAGAUUAUUACUCCCUCCGUUCACUUUUGUAAGACCAUUUAGACAUUUAAGACAAGACUCAAAACAAUUCAAUUUCAGCUGUCUGAAACGUCUUAUAAAAGUGAACAGAGGGAGUACAAGAGCAGACACAAGGAUCAGAACACCAAGUAACAAUUAGAAUCUGUAUUGCGAGCUCCCUUACCCCAUUCUAUUUUUUUCUUGACAUUCAAACCUAAAACAAAGUAAUUCUUUUUAAUUUCCAAAGCACAGGUGAAUAUGACAAUACAGCUUGUCAAACCAGUACAUUGACUCAUAGCUCUGUGUCUAACAUUCAAAUCUAAAAUUAAGUAACUCUAUUUUGUUCUUAAUGAAAACAAAAAGGACCUCAGAAAGCCCAAGUAGCACCAAAAAAAUAUAACAUGGGAUAUUAAAAAAACACUGAAGCAUCAGAGUAGAGAGUAAUUAUCAAAUAGAAACAAAAGGAAAACAAAAGCAAGAAGCUCCCAUCCCCCGUCUGUUUUUGUUUUCUUUCACUUAUAUACACCAGAUCAAUAGACAAGCACUUUAACUAUAAAAAACAUAAUUCCUAAUUCAAGAACACAGUUGAAUAUUGGAGCACCACAUACUACUCUUCGUAAAGUAAAACAAAGCAUGUGAAGUCUCGGUUGACGGACGUUGCUUAGGAAGGAUUCAAUUAUGCUAUUAUUCAGUAGGUACAUUACAAAGCCUGUUCAUGCUAACAGUAGUAGAUUCUUGUAAUCACACUUCAUGUUCUAUUUUCUAAAUAAAAUAAAUGAUCUCGCUAUAGCAGAAAACAUACAUGCAUAUAGCUGACUGAAUUACCUCGCAAAGGUUCUGUUCUUGCAUUUCUACAUCUCCCUUGGUGCUGAAUAUAUAUAAAACAUCAGACCAACGCUUAACAAGAUUUUGAUACUUCAGGUGAUAGGAGCACAUCCUACCAGAAGUUUAGAACAAGAUGCACCAGAAGAACAGAUAAACUGAACUGUAGACAGUUACCCCAAACACAUAACAGGAACUGACAAACUUAACUGCAACAAAUACUUAUACUUCACAGGAGCAAAAGAAAAUAGAACCGAAAGAGGAAGCAUAAACCUUGGCAGCAAGAAUAACAGCAUGUGAGCCGACAAGAUGGUGGAAGAGUGGCAUCAUCUGCAACACAAACAGAAAGAACAUAGGAAGAACUGAUCAGACAGAUAAAACACAUGAAAAUGUAUAUAAGACAACCAAUGGUAGUACAUAUAGGUGAAUUAAAAUGCAUUGGGUCAGCCAAAAACAGACAAAACAUAACUGAUGAGAGCACAUAAAAGUAUAAAUAUGGGAAAGGAAGUCGAUGGUGCAAUAGACAAAUUGUAAUGCAUGUGCUAAAAUAAAUGGGCUCAUCCUAGAGUCUUAGACCACCCGUCAAAUAAUCACCACAACACAUCC
rnacentral:lncRNA from 1 species